rnacentral:rRNA from 1 species
CCUACGGGAGGCAGCAGUGGGGAAUAUUGCACAAUGGGGGAAACCCUGAUGCAGCGACGCCGCGUGAGUGAAGAAGUCCUUCGUUAUGUAAAGCUCUAUCAGCAGGGGAGAAAAUGACGGUACCUGAGUAAGACUCCCCGGCCAACUACGUGCCAGCCGCCGCGGUACUACGUAGGGGGCAAGCGUUAUCCGGAUUUACUGGGUGUAACGGGAGCGUAGACGGCAGGGCAAGUCUGGAGUGAAAGGCGGGGGCUCAACCCCCGGACUGCUCUGGAAACUGUACGGCUGGAGUGCAGGAGAGGUAAGUGGAAUUCCUGGUGUAGCGGUGAAAUGCGUAGAUAUUAGGAGGAACACCAGUGGCGAAGGCGGCUUACUGGACUGUAACUGACGUUGAGGCUCGAAAGCGUGGGGAGCAAACAGGAUUAGAUACCCGGGUAGUC